rnacentral:rRNA from 1 species
ACGGAAGGCAGCAGUGGGGAAUAUUGCACAAUGGGGGAAACCCUGAUGCAGCGACGCCGCGUGAGUGAAGAAGUUAUUCGUAAUGUAAAGCUCUAUCAGCAGGGAAGAAAAUGACGGUACCUGACUAAGAAGCCCCGGCUAACUACGUGCCAGCAGCCGCGGUAAUACGUAGGGGGCAAGCGUUAUCCGGAUUUACUGGGUGUAAAGGGAGCGUAGACGGUCUGGCAAGUCUGAUGUGAAAGGCAGGGGCUCAACUCCUGGACUGCAUUGGAAACUGUCAGUCUUGAGUGUCGGAGAGGUAAGCGGAAUUCCUAGUGUAGCGGUGAAAUGCGUAGAUAUUAGGAAGAACACCAGUGGCGAAGGCGGUUAGCUGGACAAUAACUGACGCUGAGGCGCGAAAGCGUGGGUAGCAAACAGGAUUAGAUACCCUGGUA